AUUUAUUGAGAUAACCUUUGAUAGGAGCCUCAAGUUCAAUUUGAUUUAAAUCAUCAAGGUAAGAAGGGUAACCUGGGCUGGUGGUUACUCCUAGACGAGACUGGAAUAACAGAUUCUGAGUCUUGAUUGAAACGGAAAUCUUUAAUUACUAAAUCAUAGAGAUACACGACCGAUAGUUGGCUUUUCUUGAUUGUGGUGGAAAGUCAAUCAAAUUGAAGGACGAAAAGGACGAUUGAGAUAACGAUGAGUUAUCGACACUUUGGCGAUAUUUUCGGUAGUUUUAUCCAUCGAACUGAGAAAAUUUUUAAAUGUUUUUUUUGGAAUUGGUGAUGAAAUGCGAAAAUAUUUUAUUAAUUUUGUAUCGUAACAGUUAUCGAAUUGUAAUAAUCUCGAUUUAUCCUUUGCUUAACGAAGCCUGAUAUUGAUUGAGAAUCAAUUGGAUAAAGAAAUUCGUUUGCAUAAUAAUAACAUUUACAAUUCUUUAGUUGAACCACAUUCAAGAUCUUAGAUUUUGUUUGCAAAUGAGAUUACCUAUUUAUCGGUAAGAGAUUGAAGACUUUGAAUUCGCAAUUGAACAUUUGCAUAUAAGGAACAUGAUAAGUGACAAAUUUCUCAUGAUAAAAGUUGAAUAUUAACAAGAAUAAUCGAUAGUUAAUCACUUGGAAUGUCGAUAAUGAUCUUUGCUGAUUAUGUUCAAACGAUGAGUGAAUAAAAUGACUCGAUUCUGGAAAAGUUGAUUAAGAAAAACUUUCGAACUACCAAAUGAUAAUAUUUGCCAAGUGUUCCUAGUCUAUUAGUAGAAAUGAGACAUAUUCGAGGGUUGAACAUUCGAAGGAUAUUAAUCACUCUCGUAAUAAAUUCGACUCUCGAAGCUUAUAACUCGAUGAUGGAAAAAUAAAGUUCGUAAACUUAAUUAAUGACCAAAAGAAUUUCGAAUAUCAAAUAUCAACAAUAAUAUGACAUUCGACAUUCGAUUCACCUAAAUUUCGAGUUCUAAUUUGUUCAAAGCUCUACGACUUUGAUUUUCUGCUGUUUAAUUGCGUAAAAAAUAACGACAAUUAAGUUACCAUAUUGUUGUUGAUAGAAAAACAAUUGAUUGUUUGCUAAUUAAUUGAUUUUCUUUGUCAAUGUUUCAUUUUUUACUUAUUCUUUCACCGGUUUAUCCUUGAUUGUAAUUCUAUCACUAAUCAAGUGAUUAAUUUAACUUUUAAUUGGUAAUCAAUCAAUUCUGUGAUUGAUGUUUGAAUUCAUUGAUUAUAUUUACUGGUUCAUCUUGUUGGUUUGUUGAUUUAUCAUCAUGAUUGUUAUUCUUGGUUACAACUGAAUUAACUGGAAUCUGAUUUCUCAGGCAAAUUGCCCAAAAGUUUUUCCCAGGAAUCAGUAAAUUACCAGAUAAUAUUUCCAAUCAUUUUAAUUGUUUACAGUAAUUUAAUUAACGUAAUAAACAUUCAAUCAAUUGAAACUUUAAGAUUGGGUGGUAAAGUUUUUUUUUUCACCGAUG